UACAGGGGGGGCAAGCGUUGUUCGGAAUUACUGGGCGUAAAGGGCCAGUAGGCGGCCAACUAAGUCCGACGUGAAAUCCCUAGGCUUAACCUAGGAACUGCGUCGGAUACUGGAUGGCUUGAAUUCGGGAGAGGGAUGCAGAAUUCCAGGUGUAGCGGUGAAAUGACGUAGAUAUCUGGAGGAACACCGGUGGCGAAGGCGGGUCUCUGGGCCGGAUACUGACGCUGAGGAGCGAAAGCGUGGGGAGCGAACAGG
rnacentral:rRNA from 1 species